rnacentral:rRNA from 1 species
AUUGAACGCUGGCGGCAGGCCUAACACAUGCAAGUCGAACGAGUGGCGGACGGGUGAGUAAUGUCUGGGAAACUGCCUGAUGGAGGGGGAUAACUACUGGAAACGGUAGCUAAUACCGCAUACCAUCGGAUGUGCCCAGAUGGGAUUGGCUAGCGGGUGGGGUAAAGGCUCACCUAGGCGACGAUCCCUAGCUGGUCUGAGAGGAUGACGAGCCACACUGGAACUGUGACACGGUCCAGACUCCUACGGGCGGCAGCAGUGGGGAAUAUUGCACAAUGGACGCAAGCCUAAUGCAGCCAUGCCGCGUGUAUGAAGAAGGCCUUCGGGUUGUAAAGUACUUUCAGCGGGGAGGCGUUACCCGCAGAAGAAGCACCGGCUAACUCCGUGCCAGCAGCCGCGGUAAUAC